rnacentral:rRNA from 1 species
UGCAGUCGAGGGGUAUAGUAGCAAUACUAGAGACCGGCGCACGGGUGCGUAACGCGUAUGCAAUCUACCUUUUACUGAGGGAUAGCCCAGAGAAAUUUGGAUUAAUACCUCAUGGUAUAGUUGAAUGGCAUCAUUUAAUUAUUAAAGUUCCAACGGUAAAAGAUGAGCAUGCGUCCCAUUAGCUAGUUGGUGUGGUAACGGCACACCAAGGCUACGAUGGGUAGGGGUCCUGAGAGGGAGAUCCCCCACACUGGUACUGAGACACGGACCAGACUCCUACGGGAGGCAGCAGUGAGGAAUAUUGGACAAUGGGCGCAAGCCUGAUCCAGCCAUGCCGCGUGCAGGAAGAAGCAUCUAUGGUGUGUAAACUGCUUUUGUACGGGAAGAAACACCUCUACGUGUAGAGGCUUGACGGUACCGUAAGAAUAAGGAUCGGCUAACUCCGUGCCAGCAGCCGCGGUAAUACGGAGGAUCCAAGCGUUAUCCGGAAUCAUUGGGUUUAAAGGGUCCGUAGGCGGUUUAAUAAGUCAGUGGUGAAAUCUGGUCGCUCAACGAUCAAACGGCCAUUGAUACUGUUAGACUUGAAUUAUUAGGAAGUAACUAGAAUAUGUAGUGUAGCGGUGAAAUGCUUAGAUAUUACAUGGAAUACCAAUUGCGAAGGCAGGUUACUACUAAUGGAUUGACGCUGAUGGACGAAAGCGUGGGGAGCGAACAGGAUUAGAUACCCUGGUAGUCCACGCCGUANACGAUGGAUACUAGCUGUUGGGGGCAACUUCAGUGGCUAAGCGAAAGUGAUAAGUAUCCCACCUGGGGAGUACGUUCGCAAGAAUGAAACU